rnacentral:tRNA from 1 species
GCCGACGUGGCGGAACUGGCAGACGCGCAUGGCUUAGGACCAUGUGGGGUAACUCGUGGGGGUUCAAGUCCCUCCGUCGGCA